GGAAUUGAUGUGGCAAACUUCAUUCCUGUCUUAUUUUAGGAAAUCGCCACAGCCACCCCACACUUCAGCAACCACCUGCCUGACCAGUCAGCAGCCAUCAACAUCGAGGCAAGACCCUCCACCAGCAAAAAAAAUUGCAACUUGCUGAAGCCUCAGAUGAUGAAUGUUGAACCCUGACCUUGGAGUGGAAUGGCCCGGUACUGUGGAAAAAACAUGUGCGUUGAACCCAACUCUCGGCUCUGCAUUUGGAGGCUGUAGGAAGUUCCAUCAAGGCCACCGCGUCCUCAUCUGUACAAUGGGAAUAACACCUACCUCACAAGGCUGUUGAGAGGAUUAAGUGACAUGGCUCUAGGAACUUUCCUGGCAGGUCCAGCUUGCAGCAGGACAAUGGGAUCCCUGAGGAGACUGCAUAGUUUCCUUUCACCCAGGGGUGCAAAGUCUCUGAUCUGGAUGAGAUGUCCUAUUGCGAAUUCCAGGAGACAAUUCCCAGGUGUGAUGGAGCCCGGUGUUCUCAACAGCAUAGCAGGUUGAUCCAUGUGAGCAAGCCUGUCCCAGCUCUGCGUCCUCACACGUGCUGUUCCUCCUGCUCGUGGGUCUCCCUUUUCCUCCAGUCUGCUGGCCAUCCUGAGAAUAAUGUUUCCUUAGAGGGAACGUCUCUGAGUACCCAAACAAAAACGCCUGACUCAGCACUGUCUGGGAAAAUCAGCCUUUGAUUCAAAAAGAUGUUGUUCAAUGAUGGUGUCACAGUCCCAGCCAUAGCAUCAGCCCACCAGGAAGUCUGAGGAAGGGAGGCAGGCAGCCAGAAGGACAGAACUUUCUUCUCACCAGGAAGUACCUACCUCUAAGCGAGAGAUGGAUCACUUGGUGCCACCAGGGGAAAGAUAAUUUAGCCAUUGUGUUCACGAUUAAGAAGCAUUCUUCUUUACUCAUGGAAGACUUUCAGUGUCACUACCGCCUGGAACCAAAUGAAAUCCUCCCAAGCCAUGGUUGGGAUCGAGAAUUAACCACAGAACAUGGUCACAGUGAGUUUGUGGCCCGGGCUGGGCACUCUGUAAUUGAGCUUGGGUCGAGACCAAUCUUCUCCACGGUCGUGGUGGCCCUGUGCCAUUAGUAUGGUGCCCAUGAGUGGAGGAGGCUGCAGCUCACUGAAGGUGCCAGCUGUGAAAAUGGCUCAGAAGAGACGGCACAAACAAGCUGCUGUGCUCAGGCUCGGGUCCAUGCUGUUGGUGGCCAAGCAGGACAAGUCAAGGUUGUAGAACUGAGAUAGGCUGGGACCUGGGACCCUUUACUGGAGUGCUUGCCCUUGCACCCGGACAAACGUUUCCUCGAGCAACAGAAUGCAAAGCACCUAUAAGGGACUGAAAAUCACUGCAUGCAUGCACCAACUACCACUUCUGAGGUGCUGAGAGCAAAAGCAGGGUAUUAUGCAUGGUCCCUGCACAUAGCACCACCAAGGGGGCGGGCAGACCCCCUAAGCCACCCCUCCGGCCCAACCCACUGAUAUGCCCCCACCCUCAUCCCAUUUAAGGGACCAGCCUGCCCUCCUCGGAGAGCGAGCGAGGGCACCUGUUACUUGUUUUCUCUUCCUUGUGCAGUAGCGCAAGUCCCAGUAAAAUGUUGCCUGAAUUCCUCAUCAAUUUCUAUUGAUUAAAGAGUCCAAGGACCCGGGUCAGUAACAGAACAACUUGGGACUUAGGGCAUUGCCCCCAAGGAGCAUCAGCACUUGGGGUUCUAGUGACCAGGCAAAGAGACCCUCCAGGUGUCUGAGCACACCCUCCAGUUCUGCCAGGGUAUGUUGGCAUUUCUGCUGCUCGCCUCAGCAGUGGCCAGAGGUUUCUUCUUCUCCCUGUCCUCUGCCAGGGACUGCACUUCCAGCUCUGGAGCCGCCAUCACGACCCCCAGGACUGAACUUUAUUCUUGCAGUGAGCAGAUGAAGCCUCAGAAUGCUUCUCACCAUGGCCCUCCAGAAAGGUCCUGCCAGUGCGACUGAAAAGACAAGAACACAUAUGCCAUUCCCAGGUGGUGAAUACCCUGUGUUUCGUGAAUUGACAUUGGAUGAAAGAAGCAAAAAUUCCAAUGGAGGUUUUCUGUGGUCUUCAAAGUUGAUCAAGGACAUUGAAAUCAAGUGUCUCUUUGCCAUCAAAACUACACUUUGGUAAAGGAAAUACCUGCUUACUGUCUGUUCCUAAGGACUCAAUUUUCUUAGAAGCUAGAAGCCUGAGCACAAAAAAAUCAAGAUUUUGUCUCAUCCCUGCCUAUUGUCAUUAUAUUUCAUAUGUCUUCAGAAAUAGAAGACUUUUUUUUCCCAAGGAGGAGUUUGAGGGCAAGGAAGGUGAGUUACUGCAAUACUGAUUUGUCAGUUACUGCAAUACUGAUUUGUCUCAUACCUGCUGAGCACUUGUUCCCAGUGUUCUGCCAAAAGAAAUCCGGUUGCAUAGGCAGCUGGUCAACCAGGACUCUUCCAAUAGUAUUUUCUAAUACUAAUUUUCUAGGUUGUGUUUUUUGCGGUUUUUUUGGAUAGCGUUGAAUAGAUUUGCUCAUAAAACUUUUUAUUGUUUUUAUUUUUCUGUUCUUCUUCCUCCUCCUCUUCCCCCUCUUCCUUCUCCUUCUCAUUCUUCUGGCCUGUUCUUUAUUUCUUAUUACAUUGUCUGGAAGGCUUCUGGUGAUGAGUUCAAUGUUUUUGGUGACCAGCAACACUGAACUUUCAUGGGUGUGAUUUUUUGUGACAAAAAAGCCUGUUGCUUUUUUACUGCCCUCAACUGACCUGCUUCUGUAUCUCAGUUAUUACUGCUUUUAGGAAAGUGAGUGGAGAGCUAGCCUGACUCCAAGGGUCAUGGAGAUAGACACAGCACUGUUGAGGUGUUCUCUCUGCCAACCCCCAGAUCAAGGGACAUUUCCCUACUGGAUUGGUUAGCAUUCUAGGUCAGCUAGUUUCUGAGAUGGGGCAGAGGGAGGUGAGAAGGGAAAGGCAGGAGUGAUAGAGCUAUGUCAAGACAUGUCAUUGCUUUUAGACAGUUAAAUUAAUUAGAUUUUGCAAUCUUGUACUUAGAAAUGAGUUACUUAAGUGAGAUAACAAAAGAAAAAAGUCUCAAUGACAAUUUAGCCUAGUGGAUUUCUCAUUCUCCUGGUCAGAACGGCAUUGACAUAUUAUGCUGGCUUCAUUCUCUUUCACCUGCUCCCAGGUACAUGGGUACCUGCAUGCUUCUAGUGAAAAGUGGAAAAAGGCUGAGCUCCAAGAUUAUUCUUUUAAAUGAGUAACAAUUGUUCAUUUCCUAAGAACUUUGUUGAUUCUCAAGUAAAUGUGGAGAUGGCUAAUGGCAACUGGGUAUAUUAAGAAAAAUAUUUUCAACCAAUAGAUUUGGAACCAGUUUAACUAUACACUCAAACUGGGUGAGAUGAAAUGUUCUUUUCCCUCUUUGAAUAAAUGUGGGUUUGUUUGUCAAGAAUACCAGAGGGGGCUUCCCUGGUGGCGCAGUGGCUGAGAGUCCGCCUGCCGAUGCAGGGGACAUGGGUUCGUGCCCCGGGCCGGGAAGAUCCCA